rnacentral:rRNA from 1 species
AUUGAACGCUGGCGGCAGGCCUAACACAUACAAGUCGAACGAGUGGCGGAAGGGUGAGUAAUGUCUGGGAAACUGCCAGAUGGAGGGGGAUAACUAAUGGAAACGGUAGCUAAUACCGAAUACAAGCAGAUGUGCCCCGCUGGGAUUAGCUUGUUGGGGGGGUACAGGCUCACCAAGGCGACGAUCCCUAGCUGGUCUGAGAGGAUGACCAGCCAUACUGGAACUGAGACACGGUCCAGACUCCUACGGUAGGCAGCAGUGGGGAAUAGUGCACAAUGGGCGCAAGACUGAUGCAGCCAUGCCGCGUGUAUGAAGAAGGCCUUCGGGUUGUAAAGUACUUUCAGCGGGGAGGCGUUACCCGCAGAAGAAGCACCGGCUAACUCCGUGCCAGCAGCCGCGGUAAUUC